UAGGAUUGGCUGCCCCUUCUUAACCAUAAGAUAAUUAAAACGAGGGGGGGGCAGGGUUAAAAAAACUUUUUUAUCAGCCAGAGGUUAAUGCAAGUGUUUAACAGAUGCUUCAUUAUUAAAAUAUUUUCCCCCCACCUCUUAAAUAUUGAAGAAUCUCAAACCAGGGACACCAGUCCUCAGGAAGACCUUGGGCGAUUUCAAAGCGCAGGCACCUCGAUUCCUCGAAUUUGUGAUGUGGCCGGUCUUGGUGUUGCCCUGGUUUAACUAGCCUGUUUGGUGCAGGCCAUUCUUGGGGAAGUCCAACCGAAAGCAGGCCUCCUCUGCCACCCAGGGGUCUUCCUUCUCCCAGUCUCCAUCUGCCUGUGACUCCAGAAAGACAAACUUCAGAUUGGCCCAGAUUUCUUUCUUCUGAACUUCUCUCGGGUGCUGCUGCUCCGUUCUCUUCCGUAGACCUCUGGGCACUUCCUGCGGGCUGUGGAGAGACCAAUCCAUGCACUGAAGCCAGGAGGUGCUCCAACAGCUUCAGUAAAAGGGGUGAUUCCGAGCAAUCAGGGACCCAAAGACCCAACUUGACAACUAGGGCCAGGUCGCUUCGGGGGCACCGCGCGCCUCCGCUGGGAUCACAAGGGCCUCGGCGGUCGCUGGACAGCGAGACGCAGAGUGAGACGCUGGCUGCAGCCACAGCUCGGGACUGUUAGGGGACAGGAAGCGCAUCCAGAGCCGCCCCCCAGACUUAGGCCACUGUGUUGGCUGCUGGGCCGCGCCCUCCCUCCUGGUUAAAUUUUCGUUUGGAUCCCACCGCCCUCUCGGUAACAACCGCCGAGGAGGCCAGUUCUCCGCCGCUCAGGCCCAAGGCGGCCACGGCUGCGGGGAGGGGGGUCCCCCCUCCCCAUUCGCCUCCUGCGGGUCUCCGAGGACGUUUCGCUGGAGGCGGGCAGGAAGGGGUUAACCGCGCCCCUCCCCCCUCCCGCCCUCCGCGCCGGGCGAAGGCCGCCGUCCCCCUCGCGGGGUCUCAUUAGGGAAACCCGUACCGCUAUUUCCAACAUUUCCUCAAUCAAGAACCUUUAAAUAGAGCUGCACAAACAAAUUGGCGGCAAAAGCGUAGAUCUUGUCACGAUUGAGACCAAUCCCAAUAUUUCAGCCUUGUUUGCUUUGCAAUUACGGGUUGGCUUGUGGCAGCGGUGCCACCGGGGCAAAUCUGCAGCCGCCCGCUUUCUCCUCCGCACCCUGGGCGGGUGGAGGAGGCGCCCCGCGGAGCCGCCGCCGGGGAAGGGGUGGCCCGCGGGCGGGGACGCAGGGGGGGCGCGGGCGGCCCAGCCGCUCCCGACGCGCGCGCGGAGGGCGCGCGGGGCGCCGCGGAAAGCGCCGGGCGCCUGAGGUUCCCGACGGAACCCCGGGGGUACAGACAAGAACGGCAAAAUCUGCGGUGCACACGUGGCAAUCACGCUGUGUCCUUACGCAGCUUCCCGUCUCCUCUCCCCUCUCUUCUGCCCCCAGGACGCGUUUCUCCAGUAUUUGUUGGCGGUCCCUGGAUUUCCCCUCUCUCUCGCUGUUAAACCGCUAGCAUGAUUCGUUACAUUUUCCAUAGCUGCUUAUUCUUGUUUGACUUUUUGUACGGAGUCCCUUUAACUCUGCGGCAGGAAGAAUGAGGCCCCGAGUCCUUCGGAUGGGCUCCUGCGGGCGCUCCGCUGCCCCGAGCCCUCCUCGAAGUCUUGCGGGGCGGCUCUUCCCCGCGAGGCAGCGGCCGGGCGCGUUCGCCCCCGCCCAGGCCCGCCGCGCCGGUUUCUGCAGAACAGUAGUUAACUCCAAUCAGGUCCUAAGCCUUAUAUUUCACAGACAAUUAAAUCUUGGCGGCUGUUUAACAAAAAUGUAAUAUUUGCUCUGCUCUACACUGAGGAGCACUUUUAAAGUCAAAAACAAAUACUGCAUUUCAAAAAAGAAAAUAUGAUAAUAAAUCUCGUUUUAUGGAUUCUCGCUGCAUAAGUGGAAACAACAUGAUUUAAAUCCGGGGCACUUCCACCCUCCCUUUCAGGAACUGCUGAAGUUAGGCAGAUACUGCCUUUUAACAUACACUCUCCCUGGCUGGGGGGGGGGCACCCACAUUUUUACUCUCACUUUAGUUUCCAAGAUUUCACAUCCCACCCUGACCCAUCCAGCCAAAGGCAACAAGAAUUAUGAAACAAUUAGGUCUGAGAUGUGAAGUCUAUUUUCACAUGGAUUCAAGAAAAAUGGGUAUGACUGGGGUAGUUAAUUUAUAAUUUCAUAUUACUUUCUAAAUGACCACCCAUCUUCCUCUCAUGUUGAUCUCUGAAGGAGGUGGAGAAGUUGAGGCGGAAGAAUAGUUUUAUGAGACUCUGAAGUACACAUUAAAAUAUGCUUCUUUAUUAUUUAAAAUGCAUAAGGUAUGGACCUACAUUUCUUUGCUGAUGGUCAUAAAAUAAUUCAUAGCCAUUCUUGUCAAACAUAGUGAUCUCUUAUGCUUCAAAAAUAUUUUUUGUUUGUUUCUAAUUCCAUUUGGACUGUAUCUUCAUUCUCUUGGAUCACCCUCCUAUAAUAAUAUUUUGGUUUAAAUAUUAUUUACCAGAUAAGAGCAAUUUUAUUUAAAGCAAACCUCAGAAAUGGUGGUUUCCCAAAAUCGUGCAAUGAUGAAGCCACAGAAUAAUAUUUCAAGUCCGGAAGUCAUGCAUUGCCAUGUAUAUCUCCCAUAGAGUUUUCUAGCUGAUUGCGUUGGUAGUUCAAGAAAUAGGAAGCGGUAGCAGAAAGGGUUCCAUUUCCUAAAAAUUCUCUUUACCCCUGCCUCCCAAAUUUGGUCUGGCAUGUUAUUCAAUGCACAAAUUAUAAUAUUAGUUUCAUGUGUGUUAAUCUGUUUAGUAUUAAAAUUGCUAGAGUGUCUUAACCACUAACAUGUUUUGCUACACUGCUUUCAAAUGGGUGAUCUUAGAUAAUUAUGAAGAUUUUGAUGUUAAUCCCAUGUUAAGUGAACAACUAUGAAUAUAACCUUAAAGCAUUAUUAUUCUUAUAUAAAUGCCAACAAACACAAUUGCAGAGGGAGCAUGAUUACUUUUUAUCUGACAUUAUCCUAUAAGGAUAUGGCUACAUUCAUUUCUUUUAAAAUCGGGGCAGUUUUCAAUUACUAUUUAACAGAUUUUUUUUUCAAAGCAGCAUUUGCAAUGCCCAUAAACCACAGCAACUUGGUACUGACAGAUACAUAUUUUUCCUACAUUUUUAUUAAUUAGCCUCUUUGCACACUCACUAAAAUAGAAAAAUAUAUGAAAUAUUAAAAUAUAGAGAAUAAUUAUUAGGGUCUACAUAUUUAUUAAACUAAACCAAUGUUAUUAAAAUUGAAAACAUAUGCCUGGCAUAUAAAUGUUUCUUUAAGAAUUCUUUUUUGGAUGCUCAGUUAUUAUUUUUAAAGCCGGCUGAGAUUUUCAAGUUCUGAUUUCUACUCUAAACAGGCAUUGCAUUGUUGCAAACGGUAGCUCCUGGAACAGCACCACCCUUAGUACUUCAGACUUCCAAACAACAAUUGGAAUUGGAUAAAUGCUUUCAGCUGGGAGCACUUUCCUAAUACCUUUGUAGGUAAUAGGAUUCCCUGUCUGCGCUGGGUGACAAACGGACAGUGCGCUGGACAGACUGCCUACUCCCUGCAGAACCUAUGAGAGAUGAGAGGUUUUCCUAUGAGACCACUUGUGGUUCAUAUAAAAAAUGUCUGUGAAAAUGUGCAAUUGGAGAAUAUUAGGGCGUGACUUUUCUACCCAUAGUCGUGGAAUGAUGACUGAGAGAGGGGUCCAAAAUGUGAGACAGGAGGAAUGCAGAAGCAGAAAAUCUGAAAAAGAAAGUUCUCAGGCAGAAUCUGGCUCUUCGCCCACAAACAGGAGAGUGAUGAGUUGAAUCCACUUUGGGGAAUAGACGGCUUUUUGUUUUCUUCAAUUCAGGGAUUUAAAAAUAGAUUUUUCACUGAAUGAAGAAGCCCAAUCAAGAAAAUAUAUGUAGAUUCUUGUACAUGGGAAAAUACCAGCUACCUUGAUUUUCCAUAUUAGUUUAGAAUAUAAGGACCUUUAACCCACCAUACAUACCAUUGUUCUUUCUAAAUGGAUGGACGCUGUAACCAUUGGUGUCAAAAUCUUUGAAUUUUCUCAAAUUUGUGUUAAAUUGGAAUAAGAGAACAUAUCCAUGAGAUGGCUUUCAUAAACUCCAACUGGCUGAGAAAAAAGUGAAAAAAAAACCCACUUUGAAUUUGUUGGCAGAAACCAAGCAACUGGUUAUGAAUUUGGAAUAAAUAAAGCAAGACUUUGCCUCCUUUCA